AACGUGAGCCGGCUUCCCCAGGGUCCGCAGGAAUGUCCUGCUGAGGCUUAGCCAGAAUCCUGAAAUAUUUGGUUUCCUCUUGCCCAGUGCUUGGGAUGCAAGAAGGGAAAGAAGAGCUGGGGAACCCCCAGCGAGACUCUUUCUCAUCGUGCGUCCAUCCCCUGAAGAUGGAAAGGCGCCAUGUAAUUCGAGUGCCUACGUGUGGAGGAGGGCUUUCCAUGGCCCCACGGCAUGCACUUCAGCGUACGGUCCUUGGGAAACGUUUUGUUCCCAAGAAAAAAUAUAAUCACACUUGAGAAUGAAGAGAGAUUAUUGAAAAAGAGCACACAAAGAAAACUGGAAAUUCUUUGACAAGUUACCAGUAAUGGUAAAAUCAAGCAGCAAAGGCUCUCAGACUGUUUUCAUUUUUUGUAAAAUAUUUACAUCAGGAAAAUCAGUGGCAGCUGAACUGAACCAGGUAUGAGGUUUGAAGCAAACUAAAUUUAUAGCCGAUUUCCUCCCAGAAAUGAAUGACAGGAUAACAUGCAUUUAUCUUUGAUGUUAGUUUAGAUCCAUCAAUCCUGGCACUUAACAGAAGCAGGUAGAAUUUUAAAAAAUGAACAAAUUGAUCUGCAGUGAAGGAGGGGCGUCAGAAGUAGGAAUUUGAAAGAACAGCAGCGAAAAAAUAACUUGAGAAAAAUAUAGUGAAAGGAUCGAAAAGAUUUUUUUUUAGUUUGUGAAUUUAGCUUAUCGACUUUGUCGUCAAAAAUUAAUUUCUCUCUUUCCACUUAGUCCUCAGGUUAGAGCAGAGGUCAUUUCCUUUGCUAAUUCAGGCAGCAUUAUAAGAAACGGUCAUGUUGCCCCACUCCCACCAGGGAGACCGAGACAGGGGUCUGAAGAGGGUUCUGGAAUUCCUCAAGCUGGAAGUGGACGGAGCUGCCCGUGCCCCCCAGUCAGCAUGGAGCCUCCAGACGUCUGCCAAGGCAGCUCCAGGAGAUGAAGAGCGUGUGGGGAAUUUCUAGGCGUUGACCCAGGACAGAGAAGCUGGAGUGGAAGGCCGUCGGGAGUGGCGCAUGUGGGACGUAGGAAUGACCACUGAGACGGUGGCGGAGAGAGCCUGGAGAUGGAAGCUCAGGAAGGAGACGGCACCGAGGCGGGACUGUCAGUUGUGGGGAAAGUGAAUCAAAGACUCCCAGGUUAGUGGCGUGAGUGACGGGGUGAAUGGAGUGUGUCGUUAUUAGAAACAAAAUGGGAGAAAAACACAUACUUUGGGGUUGGAGAGGGUUUGGCUUUGGAUGUACUGAGUCUGAGACUCUGCCAAAGCAUGGGGUGGAGAAGCAUGGCGGGCAGUGGGAGAGUCAGCCAGGAAGAAGAAGGCCUGGGGACGUGGAUGCAGAGCGAUUUGCAUACAAGUGACAGAUGGAGCCGAGAGAUGGGCUUGCGCUGCAAAGAUGGUGG
rnacentral:lncRNA from 1 species